rnacentral:rRNA from 1 species
GCGCAGCUGAUCCAGUCAUGCCGCGUGCAGGAAGAAGGCCUUCGGGUUGUAAACUGCUUUUGUCACGGCAAGAAAAGGCUCCUUCUAAUACAGGUGGCUCAUGACGGUACCUGAAGAAUAAGCACCGGCUAACUACGUGCCAGCAGCCGCGGUAAUACGUAGGGUGCAAGCGUUAAUCGGAAUUACUGGGCGUAAAGCGUGCGCAGGCGGUUAUGCAAGACAGAGGUGAAAUCCCCGGGCUCAACCUGGGAACUGCCUUUGUGACUGCAUAGCUAGAGUACGGCAGAGGGGGAUGGAAUUCCACGUGUAGCAGUGAAAUGCGUAGAUAUGUGGAGGAACACCGAUGGCGAAGGCAAUCCCCUGGGCCUGUACUGACGCUCAUGCACGAAAGCGUGGGGAGCAAACAGGAUUAGAUACCCUGGUAGUCCAAGCCCUAAACGAUGUCAACUGGUUGUCGGGAGGGUUUCUUCUCAGUCACGUAGCUAACGCGU